UGCUUCAAAACUCUCUCUCUCUCUCUCUGUCUGUCUCAAUAAAUGGCCAAAGGGAUUAGUAGUUUACCUGUGGAGGUCCUCCAAGCAUUAUUUGGAGUUGAUAAUACUUCAGCUACAACCAAGCAGAAUCUCUUUUUUUUGGAGGUCCUCAAAGCAUUAUUGGAGUUCAUAAUACUGAAGCUAGAACCAAGCAGAAUCUGUUUUUUUCUGAGGAGUAUCGGUAGCAUAAAUGUGAUUAUAAACAUAGUACACUUGAUAUAUGGAGGCAGUGACAGCUAUUUUUACAAAAUUUAAAUCUGCAAAUGGAUUCAACAUGUUUAUGGGUUAUUAAAAUUGUCUGAUUUCUUAGGUUCUUUAUAGUACACGUGUUGAAAAUAAAUGAUUAAGAAUUGUUUCAAGAAUGCAA
rnacentral:lncRNA from 1 species